AUGGGGGCGGUGACAAUGGCGAGCAGCUUCCUCGUCCUCCGCCCGCGGGCGUCUUUGCCGUCGGCGUCGCAUCCUCGUCGUGCGCCCACGAGCGCCCCGCGGCGCCUCCUGGCCACGGCUGCUGAAACUCAUCCGCGGGAGGGGCUCUCCGUGGUGGCCGGCGAGACGAGGGCGAGGGCGACGACGACGCGGCUCUACUCGCUGGCGCCGUGCCCGGUGCUGCUGGCGGCGCUGCUGCCGGGGGCGGAGCCCAUCAGCGCGGCGUUCGAGCCCUUCGUGGAGCUGGUCAGGACCUUCAGCCUCCCCGACUGGCUCGUGCACUGGGGACACCCCGGCAACAUGGCCGUGGUGCUGUUCGCAAUGGGUGGGUACGGGACAUACCUGGGAUUCAGGAUCAAGCUGUCUGACGACCCUGAGGAGAAGGCCAAGGCCAAGGACCUCCACCCCAAGCUCCUCGGCGGCAUGUUCUUCUUCUUCGCCCUCGGUGCCACCGGCGGGGUCACCGCCCUCCUCACCUCCGGCAAACCAAUCCUCGAAAGCCCUCACGCGGUAACCGGUGUCAUUGGCCUUGCACUCCUGACCGUGCAGUCUCUCCUGCCAACAUUGUUUGAGGGAAACCCUGGGCUGAGAGGCGCGCACGGCCUACUCGGCAGCAGCAUCAUGACGCUCUUCCUUUUCCACGCCGCGUUUGGGCUGCAGCUCGGCCUCAGUUUUUAG
rnacentral:rRNA from 1 species